UACGUAGGGUGCGAGCGUUAAUCGGAAUUACUGGGCGUAAAGCGCUCGUAGGCGGUUUGUCGCGUCUGCUGUGAAAUCCCCGGGCUCAACCUGGGAACUGCAUUUGUGACUGCAAGGCUAGAGUACGGCAGAGGGGGAUGGAAUUCCGCGUGUAGCAGUGAAAUGCGUAGAUAUGCGGAGGAACACCAAUGGCGAAGGCAAUCCCCUGGGCCUGUACUGACGCUCAUGCACGAAAGCGUGGGGAGCAAACAGG
rnacentral:rRNA from 1 species